rnacentral:pre_miRNA from 1 species
GUGUGUGGAUGGUGUUCUGCACCAGGGUCAGGUGUGUUCACAUGUUUGUGGAUGGUGUUCUGCACCAGGGACAGGUGUGUCUACUU